rnacentral:rRNA from 1 species
UGGGGGAUAUUGCACAAUGGGCGAAAGCCUGAUGCAGCGACGCCGCGUGGGGGAUGAAGGCCUUCGGGUUGUAAACUUCUUUUGCUCUGAACAAGGCAUGCCUUUGGGGUGUGUUGAGUGUAGGGGUUGAUUAGCGCCGGCUAACUACGUGCCAGCAGCCGCGGUAAUACGUAGGGCGCGAGCGUUGUCCGGAAUUAUUGGGCGUAAAGGGCUUGUAGGUGGCUGGUUGCGUCUGUCGUGAAAGCUCAUGGCUUAACUGUGGGUUUGCGGUGGGUACGGGCUGGCUUGAGUGCGGUAGGGGAGGCUGGAAUUCCUGGUGUAGCGGUGGAAUGCGCAGAUAUCAGGAGGAAUACCGGUGGCGAAGGCGGGUCUCUGGACUGUUACUGACGCUGAGGAGCGAAAGCGUGGGGAGCGAACAGG